CUCCUCUCAGGAUCGCGCCUGGAGAGUUUCCAGAACUCUACCAGACUCGACUACAGGAGGGAGAGUCAAGCAGUGGCUUGUCCAUUCCAUUCCUAGCUUGGGCAGUGGCUAACUAAUGCAAGGCAAUCUGCUACAAAU